AAUUGAAAAGGCUUAGUCUUAAAUUCAAUUUGGGCCCAAUUGAGGUUAAGCCCAAGUAUAAACCCAAAAUCAGCCCCUACCCAGCCUAAACCCUCCCAUGACCCGACCCAUGCCCCAAAAUACACAAUACAAUAAUUAAAAACCCUAGACUACAUUAUACAAGCUUCAGCCGCACAGUGCAAAACAAAAGACCCAUACGCUACUUCUCCUUCUUUAGUCUUCCUCACUAUGAAAAGCCUAAAACCCUCCAUAUCCAUGGUAGCCUCCGUUCACCACCAGUCGACCACCCUGUAGCCUAAAGACACUGAACGCGAGAAAAAUGAACCCCUCAUUGUCGCACACGACCCCUCCUCCACGACCAUCUCCAUCGGAGAACAACCAAACUACCAGUCCGUCGUGAACCCAGUCAUCUUCGUCACCAGCAGUCCCGGUCCAGCGUAACCCUCACACCAUACGACCCUCACGUCAUCAAGAGACCACCUCACAAGUAUCUCAUCAACGACCCAUCCAUCACUGAAACCAACUGCCCAGUCACGCCAUUCGCGUUUUCUCGUCUGUCCUCUUGUUCCUUUUCACUGUUGUAUCACUGGAAACGAUGAGAUCUAGCAGCUUUGACUAUCUCUAACGUUUUUUUUCUGCUCGCACGUUCAUUUGGGUUGGCUCAUAUGGAUUCCGUCACUGGUGAGUUUUCAGUUUGCAACCGGUGGAGUUGUGUCUGAGUUGAGGUAUUGCCGUUCGAGUUUCGUCUGCCGGGGCUGGAUUCGUCGAGGUUACGAUCAGUAAUUCAUUUGUUUUGAUUUGCUUCUUGAGUUUUUGCUUCACUGUUUAUGGUGAAAAACAAUCGAGGUUGCCAUAAGUAAUUCAUUUGUUUUGAUUUGCUUCUUGAGAGUAUUCUUCACUGUUCAUAGUGAAAACACGCAGCAAUCAAGGUUCAUUUCUUUUCCGAUAUUGUUCUUCUCACUAAUGUUUUGGAUCGUUUCGUAUUUGAUUUAGCUUGUAUGAUUUGGACGAUUUUUGUGAAUGUGUGAUUCUGUUGAAUAUGUGACUGCACAAUUAAUGGUGGCCUUGUAGUAUCAAAAUACGGGUGGGCAUUUUAUGCGGCCCAAAUUCAAAUCUUAAAAUUCUGAAUAGAGUGUGUCUAGGAUUGCGGGUUCAUUUGAUGCGGCGCAAUCCGACACACACUUUAGACGAUGUUCACCUUCGUAAAUUCCUAUCACUUUUGAGUGGUAUGAAGUAAAAAUUGGCACAUAGGUUUUUCAUGUAAUAAAAUCAGUUAAAACUAAAUACAACAGUUGAGCGACCAUACGGAACUCGGAAAUACCUAUCACCUUCUCCCGGGUUAACAAAAUUUCUUAUCCGGAUUUCUGGUUCGCAGACUGUGAACAGAGUCAUCUUUUCCCUUGGUUCGGGAUUCAAUAAGUGAUUUGGGACACCAUUAAUCUCCCAAGUGGCGAAUCUGAAUCUUUACUAACCAAAUCCCGUUCCGAUUGUCCUUUAAGUAGAAAAACUCCUUUAUGCCUCUUUUGCAGGGGUGUAUAGCAAAAAAGGAGAUGUGACAGGUAUUGGCCAGGGGUUCAAACGAACCCUUAGGGAACUUUGCCGCACCCAAACCUUGGUAAUUGCUUUCAAACUCGAAAGAAGUGAGGUUGGAGAUCUUGGGCCUGGCUGUAGGCUCCCUAUAGAAUAACUUCUUCUCUUCUUUUAUCAUUGUUGUAUUUUUAAUUACUUGGUCUGUGAUAACUUGUAAAUAAUAAUGGGGUUUAUAGUGAAAUUGGGAGGGUU
rnacentral:lncRNA from 1 species